rnacentral:rRNA from 1 species
GACGAACGCUGGCGGCGUGCUUAACACAUGCAAGUCGAACGGAAAGGCCCUGCUUUUGUGGGGUGCUCGAGUGGCGAACGGGUGAGUAACACGUGAGUAACCUGCCCUUGACUUUGGGAUAACUUCAGGAAACUGGGGCUAAUACCGGAUAGGAGCUCCUGCUGCAUGGUGGGGGUUGGAAAGUUUCGGCGGUUGGGGAUGGACUCGCGGCUUAUCAGCUUGUUGGUGGGGUAGUGGCUUACCAAGGCUUUGACGGGUAGCCGGCCUGAGAGGGUGACCGGCCACAUUGGGACUGAGAUACGGCCCAGACUCCUACGGGAGGCAGCAGUGGGGAAUAUUGCACAAUGGGCGGAAGCCUGAUGCAGCAACGCCGCGUGCGGGAAGACGGCCUUCGGGUUGUAAACCGCUUUAGCCUGUGACGAAGCGUGAGUGACGGUAAUGGGUAAAGAAGCACCGGCUAACUACGUG